AAGUCGUAACAAGGUUUCCGUAGGUGAACCUGCGGAAGGAUCAUUACUGAGAACAUGCCUCUUGGCAUAUCUCCCACCCUUUGUUUGUUAUACUUUGUUGCUUUGGCGGGCCUGUCUAAUGACUACCGGUUUUGGCUGGUUAGCGUCCGCCAGAGGACCCAAAAUUAUUCUUAAAUCUGCUGUCUGAGUACUACACAAUAAGUUAAAACUUUCAACAACGGAUCUCUUGGUUCUG
rnacentral:misc_RNA from 1 species